rnacentral:misc_RNA from 1 species
AACAUCGCGCACCUGCGGGAACCUGCGGAAGGAUCAUUACAGAGUUGCAAAACUCCCUAAACCAUUGUGAACGUUACCUAAACCGCUGCUUCGGCGGGCGGCCCGGGUCCUUCCCGGCGCCCAUCGGCCCUCGCGGGCGCCCGCCGGAGGUAAACCAAACUAUUGCAUUGUAUGGCCUCUCUGAGUCUUCUGUACUGAAUAAGUCAAAACUUUCAACAAUGGAUCUCAGAUCGGAAGAGC